CACAAACAUAAAGAAAUGGAGAGAGUGCAAAAUCGAGAGAGUGCAGGAGAAAAGCUUCUGCUCUAAUGGCGGCGCAUUCUCAGGCAGCCACCUCCGCCGUUCUCGUGCUGCGACCGCCCUCAGGCCUCGAUCUUCAGGUUUUGGCUAAUUGUUUCAAGGUUCGUGAAAUUCAACUACUGCAUGGGUUCUCUUGAAUUUCUUGGAUAAUUACCUAAAAAGCGGAUUCCCAUCUGGUGGCUGAUACAGAUGAAGUAGAAACCAAACCUGAGAGUGGAAGCCAUCAAACUAUUGACCUUGAUUUGCGGAUUCCCAUCUGGUGGCUGAUACAGGUGAAGUGGAAUCUAAACUUGAGACUAGAAGCCAUUAGACUAUUGGCCUUGAUUUGAUGAAGUGGCAACCAGACUUGAGACUGGAAGCCAUCAGACUAUUGACCUUGAUUUGGUAAGUCUGUGUGAGAGGUUAGCGAUGUUUUCGCAAAUUUUCUGCAAUUACUUGCUUGUGGUCUUUCCUUUACUAGCACUUUGGUUUGGAAAGGUUUAGGCUUUGAUCGGCAACUCGGACUCUAUUACUCUAGGAGCAGUUAAUGCUAGUGAAGAUGAUACAGUUGUCGACUUGCAUCCAUUCACAAUGACACACUAGCUUGCAUGUCUAUCGGGCUCAAGUAUUUCCAAGUAUGAGCCUUGCGGUUUCUUCUAGACAUCGACAGCCAUUAGCUUAAGAAUAAAUCUAGCCUUAUUGUAAAUAAGAAUACUCUAUUUGUAGUACUUGGGUUUUUAGUGAAA